rnacentral:hammerhead_ribozyme from 1 species
GUACUAAUGAAGAGUCCCAAACUAGGACGAAACAGUUGUCCAGUAC